rfam:Aedes albopictus isolate Foshan contig42488, whole genome shotgun sequence.
UGCUCAGCAUCUCCUAUCCCUACCUCCUCGUGGUACCGGCCGGAAACUAUGAGCAACCUUAGUGAAGAUCGGGUAACCAACCGGUGGGAACUUUGGUCAUUGGCUGACAGGGAAGG